rnacentral:tRNA from 1 species
CUCCCCAUAGUUCAACCGGAUAGAACAGAUCCCUCCUAAGGUUCCGAUGUGCGUUCGAGUCGCGCUGGGGAGA